rnacentral:rRNA from 1 species
UAGGGAAUCUUCCGCAAUGGGCGAAAGCCUGACGGAGCAACGCCGCGUGAGUGAAGAAGGAUUUCGGUUCGUAAAGCUCUGUUGUUAGGGAAGAAUGAUUGUGUAGUAACUAUACACAGUAGAGACGGUACCUAACCAGAAAGCCACGGCUAACUACGUGCCAGCAGCCGCGGUAAUACGUAGGUGGCAAGCGUUGUCCGGAAUUAUUGGGCGUAAAGCGCGCGCAGGUGGUUUAAUAAGUCUGAUGUGAAAGCCCACGGCUCAACCGUGGAGGGUCAUUGGAAACUGUUAAACUUGAGUGCAGGAGAGAAAAGUGGAAUUCCUAGUGUAGCGGUGAAAUGCGUAGAGAUUAGGAGGAACACCAGUGGCGAAGGCGGCUUUUUGGCCUGUAACUGACACUGAGGCGCGAAAGCGUGGGGAGCAAACAGGAUUAGAUACCCUGGUAGCCCACGCCGUAAACGAUGAGUGCUAAGUGUUGGUCUCAUAAGAGAUCAGUGCUGCAGCUAACGCAUUAAGCACUCCGCCUGGGGGGUACGACCGCAAGGUUG